ensembl:miRNA
UUUGCACUAAAAAUGAGGCCUUCUCUUCCCAGUUCUUCCCAGAGUCAGGAAAAGCUGGGUUGAGAGGGUAGAAAAAAAAUGAUGUAGG